rnacentral:rRNA from 1 species
UACGAAGGGGGCUAGCGUUGUUCGAAAUACUGGGCGUAAAGCGCACGUAGGCGGAUCCUUAAGUCAGGGGUGAAAUCCCGAGGCUCAACCUCGGAACUGCCUUUGAUACUGGGGAUAUCGAGUCCGGGAGAGGGUGAGUGGAACUGGCGAGUGUAGAGGUGAAAUUCGUAGAUAUCGCAAGACACCAGUGGCGAAGGCGG